AUAAUGAUACUUCCCAGUAGGGGCUAAAAGAGCGGGUGAAAUGCCCAUGA
rnacentral:ncRNA from 1 species